GACGAACGCUGGCGGCGUGCUUAACACAUGCAAGUCGAGCGGUAAGGCCCCUCCGGGGGCACACGAGCGGCGAACGGGUGAGUAACACGUGAGCAACCUGCCCCUGACUCCGGGAUAAGCGGUGGAAACGCCGUCUAAUACCGGAUACGACCCUCCGGCUCAUGCCGUGGGGGUGGAAAGUUUUUUCGGUUGGGGAUGGGCUCGCGGCCUAUCAGCUUGUUGGCGGGGUAAGGGCCUACCAAGGCGAUUACGGGUAGCCGGCCUGAGAGGGCGACCGGCCACCCUGGGACUGAGACACGGCCCAGACUCCUGCGGGAGGCAGCAGUGGGGAAUCUUGCGCAAUGGGCGAAAGCCUGACGCAGCGACGCCGCGUGGGGGAUGACGGCCUUCGGGUUGUAAACUCCUUUUACCACUCACGCAGGCCCGGAGUGUUCUUCGGGUUGACGGUAGGUGGGGAAUAAGGACCGGCUAACUACGUGCCAGCCGCCGCGGUAA
rnacentral:rRNA from 1 species